rnacentral:rRNA from 1 species
CCUACGGGGGGCAGCAGUGAGGAAUAUUGGUCAAUGGACGAGAGUCUGAACCAGCCAAGUAGCGUGAAGGAUGACUGCCCUAUGGGUUGUAAACUUCUUUUAUAUGGGAAUAAAAUGUUCCACGUGUGGGAUUUUGUAUGUACCAUAUGAAUAAGGAUCGGCUAACUCCGUGCCAGCAGCCGCGGUAAUACGGAGGAUCCGAGCUUGAUCCGGAUUGAUUGGGUUUAAAGGGAGCGUAGGUGGAUUGUUAAGUCAGUUGUGAAAGUUUGCGGCUCAACCGUAAAAUUGCAGUUGAAACUGGCAGUCUUGAGUACAGUAGAGGUGGGCGGAAUUCGUGGUGUAGCGGUGAAAUGCUUAGAUAUCACGAAGAACUCCGAUUGCGAAGGCAGCUCACUGGACUGCAACUGACACUGAGGCUCGAAAGUGUGGGUAUCAAACAGGAUUAGAUACCCUGGUAGUC